GUAGGGAAUAUUGCACAAUGGGCGAAAGCCUGAUGCAGCAACGCCGCGUGCACGAUGAAGGCCUUCGGGUUGUAAAGUGCUUUUCGGGGAGAUGAGGAAGGACAGUAUCCCCGGAAUAAGGAUCGGCUAACUACGUGCCAGCAGCCGCGGUAACACGUAGGAUCCGAGCGUUAUCCGAAUUUACUGGGCGUAAAGCGCGUGUAGGCGGUCUGAUAAGUUGGAUGUGAAAGCUCCUGGCUCAACUGGGAGAGGUCGUUCAAUACUGUCAGACUAGAGGAUGGUAGAGGGAGGUGGAAUUCCCGGUGUAGUGGUGAAAUGCGUAGAUAUCGGGAGGAACACCAGUGGCGAAAGCGGCCUCCUGGGCCAUUCCUGACGCUCAGACGCGAAAGCUAGGGGAGCGAACGGGAUUAGAAACCCUAGUAGUCC
rnacentral:rRNA from 1 species